rnacentral:rRNA from 1 species
AUUGAACGCUGGCGGCAUGCCUUACACAUGCAAGUCGAACGGCAGCACAGGGGCAACCCUGGUGGCGAGUGGCGAACGGGUGAGUAAUACAUCGGAACGUGUCCGGUCGUGGGGGAUAACCAGUCGAAAGAUUGGCUAAUACCGCAUGAGCUCGAAAGAGGAAAGCGGGGGACCCGCAAGGGCCUCGCGCGACUCGAGCGGCCGAUGUCGGAUUAGCUUGUUGGCGGGGUAAAAGCCCACCAAGGCGACGAUCCGUAGCUGGUUUGAGAGAACGACCAGCCACACUGGGACUGAGACACGGCCCAGACUCCUACGGGAGGCAGCAGUGGGGAAUUUUGGACAAGUGGGCGCAAGCCUGAUCCAGCCAUGCCGCGUGUGUGAAGAAGGCC